UACGUAGGGCGCAAGCGUUGUCCGGAAUUAUUGGGCGUAAAGAGCUCGUAGGCGGUUUGUCGCGUCUGCUGUGAAAACCUAAGGCUCAACCCCGGGCCUGCAGUCGAUACGGGCAGACUAGAGUGUGGUAGGGGAGACUGGAAUUCCUGGUGUAGCGGUGAAAUGCGCAGAUAUCAGGAGGAACACCGGUGGCGAAGGCGGGUCUCUGGGCCAUAACUGACGCUGAGGAGCGAAAGCGUGGGGAGCGAACAGG
rnacentral:rRNA from 1 species